rnacentral:rRNA from 1 species
UACGUAGGGCGCAAGCGUUAUCCGGAAUUAUUGGGCGUAAAGCGCUCGUAGGCGGUUUGUCGAGUCUGCUGUGAAAGACCGGGGCUCAACUCCGGUUCUGCAGUGGGUACGGGCAGACUAGAGUGCAGUAGGGGAGACUGGAAUUCCUGGUGUAGCGGUGAAAUGCGCAGAUAUCAGGGGGAACACCGAUGGCGAAGGCAGGGCUCUGGGCUGUAACUGACGCUGAGGAGCGAAAGCAUGGGGAGCGAACAGG